UUUCCUACGGGACGCAGCAGUGGGGAAUAUUGGACAAUGGGGGGAACCCUGAUCCAGCGACGCCGCGUGAGUGAAGAAGUAUUUCGGUAUGUAAAGCCCUAUCAGCAGGGAAGAAGAAAUGACGGUACCUGAGUAAGAAGCACCGGCUAAAUACGUGCCAGCAGCCGCGGUAAUACGUAUGGUGCAAGCGUUAUCCGGAUUUACUGGGUGUAAAGGGAGCGCAGGCGGCACGGCAAGCCUGAUGUGAAAGCCCGCGGCCCAACCGCGGGACUGCAUUGGGAACUACCGGGCUGGAGGGGCGGAGG
rnacentral:rRNA from 1 species